GACGAACCGUGCGAACGUUGUUCGGAAUCACUGGGCUUAAAGGGCGCGUAGGCGGGCAUGCAAGUCAGGGGUGAAAGCCCACGGCUCAACCGUGGAAGUGCCUUUGAUACUGCGUGCCUUGAGCGAGGUAGGGGCGUGCGGAACUUCCGGUGGAGCGGUGAAAUGCGUAGAGAUCCGGAGGAACACCAAAGGCGAAGGCAGUGUCCUGGGGAGUACCUGACGCUCAGGUGCGAAAGCCAGGGGAGCGAACGGG
rnacentral:rRNA from 1 species